CACAUUUUCGUCGUGAUUCUCCGGUAGAAACUUUGGGGCACUCUUUGAGGUUCUAUGUGUUGGUUGAAUAGAUGAAUUUGAGAUUGUGUGAUGCAUAUCGUAUAAUCAUGCCCACGGAUACUUGAGGUGACAUUGGAGUAUCUAGGUGACAUUAGGGUUUUGGUUGAUUUGUGUCUUAAGGUGUUAUUAUAGUACGAACUCUAGGGUUGUUUGUGACACUUAUAGGAAUAGCCCAACGGAUUGAUUGGAAAGAAUAACUUUGAGGUGGUUUCGUACCCUACCAUAAUCUCUUCGUUCGUUCUCCACUAUUAGUGACUUUGGAGUGACUCUUUGUUGCAUGUUGAGGGAUAGUUAUGUGAUCCAAUUAUGUUAUUGUUGAGAGGACUUGCACUAGUGAAAGUAUGAACCCUAGGCCUUGUUUUAACGCAUUGCAAUACCAUUUACGCUCACUUUUAUCAUUAGUUACCUUGCUGUUUUUAUAAUUUCAGAUUACAAAAACAUUUAUCUACCAUCCAUAUUGCACUUGUAUCACCAUCUCUUCGCCGAACUAGUGCACCUAUACAAUUUACCAUUGUAUUGGGUGUGUUGGGGACACAAGAGACUCUUUGUUAUUUGGUUGCAGGGUUGCUUGAGAGAGACCAUCUUCAUCCUACGCCUCCUACUGAUUGAUAAACCUUAGGUCAUCCACUUGAGGGAAAUUUGCUACUGUCCUACAAACCUCUGCAUUUGGAGGCCCAACAACGUCUACAAGAAGAAGGUUGUGUAGUAGACAUCAAGCUCUUUUCUGGCGCCAUUGCCGGGGAGGUUAGCGCUUGAAGGUAUAUCUUUAGAUCUUGCAAUUGAGUCUUUUAGUUUCUUGUUCUAUCACUAGUUUAGUUUAUAAAAGAAAAUUACAAAAAAAUGGAAUUGAGUUUGCCUCAUAAGCUUCAUCUUUUUAAUAUCUUUCGUGAGUAUGAUGGAAAGGAAAAUUGUGCCAAAGUGUUAGAAGAAGAAUGCGUUAAAAUGUUUGGCACUAAAUCUUUGAAUGAUGAGCAUGAUUGCAAUGUUGUUAGUAUGAAUUCCUUGAAUAUCCAUGAUGCUAAUGAUAUGCAAAGCCACAAGCUUGGGGAAGCUAUGUUUGAUGAAGAUGAUAUUUUUUGUCCCCCGAGUUUUGAUGAGCAAAUUUAUUAUGAUGAAAGCAUGCCUCCUAUUUAUGAUGAUUAUAUUGAUGAAAGUGGAUUUGGAGAGGUCAUGACUUUAUUUUGUGAUGAAUCCACUAUUCCGGAAGAGGUUCCAAUUGAUUAUGAGAAUAAAGUUGCUAUCUAUGAUGAUUAUUGUGAUGACUUGUAUGCUAUAAAGAAUAAUGAUAUACAUGAAACUUGUCAUCAUGAUUUUAGUUUUCAAUUGGAUUAUGCUUCACAUGAUAAUUAUUUUGUUGAGUUUGCUCCCACUAUUAUUCAUGAGAAGAAUUUUGCUUGUGUGGAGAGUAAUAAAAUUUCUAUGCUUGUAGAUCAUGAAAAGAAUGCUUUAGGUGCUGGUUAUAUUGUUGAAUUCAUUCAUGAUGCUACUGCAAAUUAUUAUGAGGGAGGAACAUAUGCUUGUAGGAAUUGCAAUAAUAUCAAGUUUCCUCUCGAUGUGCUUAAAAUCUUGAAGUUAUGCUUGUUUUACUUUCCUAUGCUAGUUGAUUGUUGUUCCCAUAAGUUGUUUGCUCACAAAAUCCCUAUGCAUAGGAAGUGGGUUAGACUUAAAUGUGCUAGUCAUAUUCUUCAUGAUGCUCUCUUUAUGUUACAAUUCUUAUCUUUUAUGUGAGCAUCAUUGAAAUCAUCAUGCCUAGCUAGGGGCGUUAAACGAUAGCGCUUGUUGGGAGGCAACCCAAUUUUAUUUUUAUUCAUUGCUUUUUGAUCCUGUUUAGUAAUAAAUAAUUUAUCUAGCCUCUGUUUUGGUUGUGUUUUUUUGUGUUUAAUUAGUGUUUGUGCCAAGUAGAACCGUUGGGAAGACUUGGGGAAAUUCUUGUUACACUUGCUGUAAAAAACAGAAACUUUAGCGCUCACGAGAACUGCUGUCAUUUUUAUUUGGAAAGUGAUAUUUAGUUAAUUAUUUUUUCAGAUGCUUAAUAGAUAAAUUACUCAGGUCCAGAAAUUUAUUUUAGAAUUUUUGGGUUUCCAGAAGUUUGCGUUAGUUACAGAUUACUACAGACUGUUCUGUUUUUGACAGAUUCUGUUUUCUAUGUGUUGUUUGCUUAUUUUGAUGAAUCUAUGAGUAGUAUCGAAGGGUAUGAACCAUAGAGAAGUUGUAAUACAGUAGGUUUAACACCAAUAUAAAUAAAGAAUGAGUUAAUUACCGUACCUUGAAGUGGUAUUUUGUUUUCUUUCGCUAACGGAGCUCACGAGAUUUUCUGUUAAGUUUUGUGUUGUGAAGUUUUCAAGUUUUGUGUAAAGAAUCAAUGGACUAUGGAAUAAGGAGUGGCAAGAUCCUAAGCUUGGGGAUGCCCAAGGCACCCCAAGGUAAUAUUCAAGGACAACCAAAAGCCUAAGCUUGGGGAUGCCCCGGAAGGCAUCCCCUCUUUCGUCUUCGUUCAUCGGUAACUUUACUUGGAGCUAUAUUUUUAUUCGCCACAUGAUAUGUGUUUUGCUUGGAGCAUCAUUUUUUUUUCUUGUUUGAAUAAAAUACCAAGAUCUGAAAUUAUUAAAUGUUAGAGAGUCUUCAUAUAGUUUCAUAAUUGUUCGACUACUCAUUUGUCUUCACUUAUAUCUUUCGGAGUAGUUUGUCAUUUGCUCUAGUGCUUCACUUAUAUCUUUUUAGAGCACGGUGGUGGUUUUAUUUUGUAGAAAUAAUUGAUCUCUCAUGCUUCAUUUAUAUCAUUUUUAGAGUCUUUAGAACAGCAUGGCAAUUUGCUUUCGUUAUGAAUUUAGUCCUAAUAUGAUGGGCAUCCAAGAGGGAUAUAAUAAAAACUUUCAUAUAAAGUGCAUUGAAUACUAUGAGAAGUUUGAUACUUGAUGAUUGUUUUUAGAUAUGAAGAUGGUGAUAUUAGAGUCAUGCUAGUUGAGUAGUUGUGAAUUUGAGAAAUACUUGUGUUAAAGUUUGUGAUUCCUGUAGCAUGCACGUAUGGUGAACCGUUAUGUGAUGAAGUCGGAGCAUGAUUUAUUUAUUGAUUGUCUUCCUUAUGAGUGGCGGUCGGGGAUGAGCGAUGAUCUUUUCCUACCAAUCUAUCCCCCUAGGAGCAUGCGCGUAGUACUUUGUUUCGAUAACUUGUAGAUUUUUGCAAUAAGUAUAUGAGUUCUUUAUGACUAAUGUUGAGUCCAUGGAUUAUACGCACUCUCACCCUUCCACCUUUGCUACCCUCUCUAGUACCGCGCAACUUUCGCCGGUACCAUAAACCCACCAUAUAUCUUCCUCAAAACAGCCACCAUACCUACCUAUUAUGGCGUUUCCAUAGCCAUUCCGAGAUAUAUUGCCAUGCAACUUUCCACCGUUCCGUUUAUUAUGACACGCUUCAUCAUUGUCAUAUUGCUUUGCAUGAUCAUGUAGUUGACAUCGUAUUUGUGGCAAAGCCACCGUUCAUAAUUCUUCCAUACGUGUCACUCAUGAGUCAUUGCACAUCCCGGUACACCGCCAGAGGCAUUCAUAUAGAGUCAUAUCUUGUCCUAAGUAUCAAGUUGUAAUUCUUGAGUUGUAAGUAAAUAAAAGUGUGAUGAUCAUCAUUAUUAGAGCAUUGUCCAAGUGAGGAAAGGAUGACUGAGACUAUGAUUCCCCCACAAGUCGGGAUGAGACUCCGGACAAAAAAGAGAGGCCAAAGAAGCCCCCCCCNNNNNNNNNNNNNNNNNNNNNNNNNNNNNNNNNNNNNNNNNNNNNNNNNNNNNNNNNNNNNNNNNNNNNNNNNNNNNNNNNNNNNNNNNNNNNNNNNNNNNNNNNNNNNNNNNNNNNNNNNNNNNNNNNNNNNNNNNNNNNNNNAAAAGAGGCCAUAAAAAAAGAGAAGGACCAAAUAAAAAAUAAAAAAUGAGAGAAAAAGAGAGAAGGGGCAAUGCUACUAUCCUUUUACCACACUUGUGCUUCAAAGUAGCACCAUGAUCUUCAUGAUAGAGAGUCUCCUAUGAUAUCACUUUCAUAUACUAGUGGGAAUCUUUCAUUAUAGAACUUGGCUUGUAUAUUCCAAUGAUGGGCUUCCUCAAAUGCCCUAGGUCUUCGUGAGCAAGCAAGUUGGAUGCACACCCACUUAGUUUCUUUUUGAGCUUUCAUACACUUAUAGCUCUAGUGCAUCCGUUGCAUGGCAAUCCCUACUCACUCACAUUGAUAUCUAUUGAUGAGCAUCUCCAUAGCCCGUUGAUACGCCUAGUCAAUGUGAGACUAUCUUCUCCUUUUUGUCUUCUCCGCAAUCACCAUUCUAUUCCACCUAUAGUUCUAUGUCCAUGGCUCACGCUCAUGUAUUGCGUGAAGAUUGAAAAAGUUUGAGAACAUCAAAAGUAUGAAACAAUUGCUUGGCUUGUCAUCGGGGUUGUGCAUGAUUUAAAUAUUUUGUGUGGUGAAGAUAGAGCAUAGCCAGACUAUAUGAUUUUUGUAGGGAUAGCUUUCUUUGGCCAUGUUAUUUUGAGAAGACAUGAUUGCUUAGUUAGUAUGCUUGAAGUAUUAUUAUUUUUAUGUCAAUAUUAAACUUUUGUCUUGAAUCUUAUGGAUCUGAAUAUUCUUGCUACAAUAAAGAGAAAUACAUGAUGAAUAUGUUAGGUAGAAUUCCACAUCAAAAAUUUUGUUUUUAUCAUUUACCUACUCGAGGACGAGCAGGAAUUAAGCUUGGGGAUGCUGAUACGUCUCCAACGUAUCUAUAAUUUUUGAUUGUUCCAUGCUAUUAUAUUAUCAACCUUGGAUGUUUUAUAUGCAUUUAUAUGCUAUUUUAUAUGAUUUUUGGGACUAAGCUGUUAACCUAGAGCCUAGUGCCUGUUUCUGUUUUUUCCUUGUUUUAGAGUAUCGCAGAAAAAGAAAAUCAAACGGAGUCCAAUUGACCUGAAACUUUAUGGAACUUAUUUUUGGAACAAAAGCAAUCUAGAAGACUUGGAGUGCACGUCAGGGGAUCAACGAGGAAGCCACGAGGCAGGGGGCGCGCCCACCCCCCUGGGCACGCCCUCCACCCUCAUGGGCCCCUUGUGGCUGCCUGACGUACUUCUUCCGCCUAUAUAUCCAUAUACACCCUAAAAACAUCCGGGAGCACAAUAGAUCGGGAGUUCCGCCGCCAGAAGCCUCCGUGGCCACCGAAAACCAAUCUAGACCCAUUUCGGCACCCUGCCGGAGGGGGCAAUCCCUCUCUGGUGGCCAUCUUCAUCAUCCCAGUGCUCUCCAUGAAGAGGAGGGAGUAGUUCUCCCUCAGGGCUGAGGGUAUGUACCAGUAGCUAUGUGUUUGAUCUCUCUCUCUCGUGUUCUUGAGGUGGUACGAUCUUGAUGUAUCACGAGCUUUGCUAUUAUAGUUGGAUCUUAUGAUGUUUCUCCCCCUCUACUCUCUUGUAAUUAAUUGAGUUUUCCCUUUGAAGUUAUCUUAUCGGAUUGAGUCUUUAAAGAUUUGAGAACACUUGAUGUAUGUCUUGCCGUGCGUAUCUGUGGUGACAAUGGGAUAUCACGUGAUUCACUUGAUGUAUGUUUUGGUGAUCAACUUGCGGGUUCCGCCCAUGAACCUAUGCAUAGGGGUUGGCACACGUUUUCGUCGUGAUUCUCCGAUAGAAACUUUGGGGCACUCUUUGAGGUUCUAUGUGUUGGUUGAAUAGAUGAAUUUGAGAUUGUGUGAUGCAUAUCGUAUAAUCAUGCCCACGGAUACUUGAGGUGACAUUGGAGUAUCUAGGUGACAUUAAGGUUUGGGUUGAUUUGUGUCUUAAGGUGUUAUUCUAAUACGAACUCUAGGGCUGUUUGUGACACUUAUAGGAAUAGCCCAACGGAUUGAUUGGAAAGAAUAACUUUGAGGUGGUUUCGUACCCUACCAUAAUCUCUUCGUUCGUUCUCCGCUAUUAGUGACUUUGGAGUGACUCUUUGUUGCAUGUUGAGGGAUAUGAAGGAAAUAUGCCCUAGAGGCAAUAAUAAAGUUAUUAUUUAUUUCCUUAUAUCAUGAUAAAUUUUUAUUAUUCAUGCUAGAAUUUUAUUAACCGGAAACGUAAUACUUGUGUGAAUACAUAGACAAACAAAGUGUCACUAGUAUGCCUAUACUUGACUAGCUCGUUAAUCGAAGAUGGUUAUGUUUCCUAACCAUAGACAUGAAUUGUCAUUUGAUUAAUGGGAUCACAUCAUUAGGAGAAUGAUGUGAUUGACAUGAUCCAUUCCAUUAGCUUAGCACCCGAUCGUUUAGUAUGUUGCUAUUGCUUUCUUCAUGACUUAUACAUGUUCCUAUGAUUAUGAGAUUAUGCAACUCCCGUUUACCGGAGGAACACUUUGUGUGCUACCAAACGUCACAACGUAACUAGGUGAUUAUAAAGGUGCUCUACAGGUGUCUCCAAAGGUACAUGUUGGGUUGGCGUAUUUCGAGAUUAGGAUUUGUCGCUCUGAUUGUCGGAGAGGUAUCUCUGGGCCCUCUCGGUAAUACACAUCACUUAAGCCUUGCAAGCAAUGCAACUAAUAAGUUAGUUGCAAGAUGAUGUAUUACGAAACGAGUAAAGAGACUUGCUGGUGACGAGACUGAACUAGGUAUUGAGAUACCGAUGAUCGAAUCUCGGGCAAGUAACAUACCGAUGACAAAGGGAACAAUGUAUGUUGUUAUGCGGUCUGACCAAUAAAGAUCUUCGUAGAAUAUGUAGGAGCCAAUAUGAGCAUCCAGGUUCCUCUACUGGUUAUUGACCGGAGACGUGUCUCGGUCAUGUCUACAUUGUUCUCGAACCCAUAGGGUCCGCACGCUUAACGUUACGAUGACAGUUUCAUUAUGAGUUUAUAUAUUUUGAUGUACCGAAGGUUGUUCGGAGUCCCGGAUGUGAUCACGGACUUGACGAGGAGUCUCGAAAUGGUCGAUACAUAAAGAUCGAUAUAUUGGACGACUAUAUUUGGACACCGAAAAGGUUCUGGGUAAGAUUGGGACAAUACCGGAUCACCAGGAGGUUAUCGGAACCCCCCGGGAGGUAUAUGGGCCUUAUUGGGCCUUAGUGGAAAGGAGGGGAAAGGAGCAAGGGAGGGGGCGCCCCCCCCCCCAAGCCCAAUCCAAAUUGGGAGGGGGGCGGGCCCCCCUUUCCUUCCUCCCUCCUUCCUCUUCCUUCCCUCUCCUACUCCUAAUAGGAAAAAGGGGAGUCCUACUCCCGGUGGGAGUUGGACUCCCCCCCUUGGGUGCGCCACCCUCCUUGGCCGGCCCCUCCUCCACUCCUUUAUAUACGGGGGCAGGAGGCACCCCAGAGACACAACAAUUGAUCAUUGAUCUCUUAGCCAUGUGCGGUGCUCCCCUCCACCAUAAUCCUCGAUAAUAUUGUAGCGGUGCUUAGGCGAAGCCCUGCGACGGUAGAACAUCAAGAUCGUCACCAUGCCGUCGUGCUGACGGAACUCAUCCCCGACACUUUGCUGGAUCGGAGUCCGGGGAUCGUCAUCGAGCUGAACGUGUUCAAAACUCGAAGGUGACGUAGUUUCGGUGCUUGAUCGGUUGGGCCAUGAAGACGUAUGACUACAUCAACCGCGUUGUUAUAAAGCUUCCGCUUCCGGUCUACGAGGGUACAUAGACAACACUCUCCCCUCUCGUUGUUGUGCAUCACCAUGAUCUUGCGUGUGCGUAGGAUUUUUUUUGAAAUUACUACGUUCCCCAACAGUGGCAUCCGAGCCUAGGUUUUAUGUGUUGAUGUUAUAUGCACGAGUAGAACACAAGUGAGUUGUGGGCGAUAUAAGUCAUACUGCUUACCAGCAUGUCAUACUUUGGUUCGGCGGUAUUGUUGGAUGAAGCGGCCCGGACCGACAUUACGCGUACGCUUACGCGAUACUGGUUCUACCGACGUGCUUUGCACACAGGUGGCUGGCGGGUGUCAGUUUCUCCAACUUUAGUUGAACCAAGUGUGGCUACGCCCGGUCCUUGCGAAGGUUAAAACAGCACCAACUUGACAAACUAUCGUUGUGGUUUUUGAUGCGUAGGUAAGUUUGGUUUUUGCUAAGCCCGUAGCAGCCACGUAAAACUUGCAGGAAACAAAGUAGAGGACGUCUAACUUGUUUUUGCAGGGCAUGUUGUGAUGUGAUAUGGUCAAGGCAUGAUGCUAAAUUUUAUUGUAUGAGAUGAUCAUGUUUUGUAACCAAGUUAUCGGCAACUGGCAGGAGCCAUAUGGUUGUCGCUUUAUUGUAUGCAAUGCAAUCGCCCUGUAAUGCUUUACUUUAUCACUAAGCGGUAGCGAUAGUCGUAGAAGCAUAAGAUUGGCGAGAUGACAACGAUGCUACGAUGGAGAUCAAGGUGUCACGCCGGUGACGAUGGUGAUCAUGACAAUGCUUCGGAGAUGGAGAUCACAAGCACAAGAUGAUGAUGGCCAUAUCAUAUCACUUAUAUUGAUUGCAUGUGAUGUUUAUCUUUUAUGCAUCUUAUCUUGCUUUGAUUGACGGUAGCAUUAUCAGAUGAUCUCUCACUAAAUUUCAAGAUAAAAGUGUUCUCCCUGAGUAUGCACCAUUGCCAAAGUUCAUCGUGCCAAGACACCACGUGAUGAUCGGGUGUGAUAAGCUCUACGUCCGUCUACAACGGGUGCAAGCCAGUUUUGCACACGCAGAAUACUCAGGUUAAACUUGACGAGCCUAGCAUAUGCAGAUAUGGCCUUGGAACAAUGAGACCGAAAGGUCGAGCGUGAAUCAUAUAGUAGAUAUGAUCAACAUAGUGAUGUUCACCAUUGAAAACUACUCCAUUUCACGUGAUGAUCGGUUAUGGUUUAGUUGAUUUGGAUCACGUGAUCACUUAGAAGAUUAGAGGGAUGUCUUUCUAAGUGGGAGUUCUUAAGUAAUAUGAUUAAUUGAACUUAAAUUUAUCAUGAACUUAGUACCUGAUAGUAUCUUGCUUAUUUAUGUUUGAUUGUAGAUAGAUGGCCCAUGUUGUUGUUUCGUUGAAUUUUAAUGCGUUCCUUGAGAAAGCAAAGUUGAAAGAUGGUAGCAAUUAUACGGACUGGGUCCGUAACUUGAGGAUUAUCCUCAUUGCUGCACAGAAGAAUUACGUCCUGGAAGCACCGCUGGGUGCCAGGCCUGCUGCUGAUGCAACUGACGACGUUAAGAAUGUCUGGCAGAGCAAAGCUGAUGACUACUCGAUAGUUCAAUGUGCCAUGCUUUACGGCUUAGAACCGUAUCUUCAACGACAUUUUGAACGUCAUGGAGCAUAUGAGAUGUUCCAGGAGUUGAAGCUAAUAUUUCAAGCAAAUGCCCGGAUUGAGAGAUAUGAAGUCUCCAAUAAGUUCUAUAGCUGCAAGAUGGAGGAGAACAGUUCUGUCAGUGAGCAUAUACUCAAAAUGUCUGGGUAUAAUAAUCACUUGAUUCAACUGGGAGUUAAUCUUCUGGAUGAUUGCGUCAUUAACAGAAUUCUCCAAUCACUUCCACCUAGCUACAAGAGCUUCAUGAUGAACUAUAAUAUGCAAGGGAUGGAUAAGACAAUUCCCGAGCUCUUCGCAAUGCUAAAAGUUGCGGAGGUAGAAAUCAAGAAGGAGCAUCAAGUAUUGAUGGUCAACAAGACCACUAGUUUCAAUAAAAAGGGCAAGGGGAAGAAGAAGGGGAACUUCAAGAAGAACAGCAAGCAAGUUGCUGCUCAGGAGAAGAAACCCAAGUCUAGACCUAAGCCUGAAACUGAGUGCUUCUACUGCAAGCAGACUGGUCACUGGAAGCGGAACUGCCCCAAGUAUUUGGCAGAUAAGAAGGAUGGCAAGGUGAACAAAGGUAUAUAUGAUAUACAUGUUAUUGAUGUGUACCUUACUAGAGCUCGCAGUAGCACCUGGGUAUUUGAUACUGGUUCUGUUGCUAAUAUUUGCAACUCGAAACAGGGACUACGGAUUAAGCGAACACUGGCGAAGGACGAGGUGACGAUGCGCGUGGGAAAUGGUUCCAAAGUCGAUGUGAUCGCGGUCGGCACGCUACCUCUACAUCUACCAUCAGUAUUAGUAUUAGACCUAAAUAAUUGUUAUUUGGUGCCAGCAUUGAGCAUGAACAUUAUAUCUGGAUCUUGUUUGAUGCGAGACGGUUAUUCAUUUAAAUCAGAGAAUAAUGGUUGUUCUAUUUAUAUGAGUAAUAUCUUUUAUGGUCAUGCACCCUUGAAGAGUGGUCUAUUUUUGAUGAAUCUCGAUAGUAGUGAUACACAUAUUCAUAAUGUUGAAGCCAAAAGAUGCAGAGUUGAUAAUGAUAGUGCAACUUAUUUGUGGCACUGCCGUUUAGGUCAUAUCGGUGUAAAGCGCAUGAAGAAACUACAUACUGAUGGACUUUUGGAACCACUUGAUUAUGAAUCACUUGGUACUUGCAAACCGUGCCUCAUGGGCAAGAUGACUAAAACGCCGUUCUCCGGUACUAUGGAGAGAGCAACAGAUUUGUUGGAAAUCAUACAUACAGAUGUAUGUGGUCCAAUGAAUGUUGAAGCUCGUGGCGGAUAUAAGUUCAAAGAAUUUCAGAGUGAAGUUGAAAAUCAUCGUAACAAGAAAAUAAAGUUUCCACGAUCUGAUCGUGGAGGAGAAUAUUUGAGUUACGAGUUUGGUUUACAUUUGAAACAAUGCGGAAUAGUUUCGCAACUCACGCCACCCGGAACACCACAGCGUAAUGGUGUGUCCGAACGUCAUAAUCGUACUUUACUUGAUAUGGUGCGAUCUAUGAUGUCUCUUACAGAUUUACCGCUAUCGUUUUGGGGUUAUGCUUUAGAGACGGCCGCAUUCACGUUAAAUAGGGCACCAUCAAAAUCCUUUGAGACGACGCCUUAUGAACUAUGGUUUGGCAAGAAACCAAAGUUGUCAUUUCUGAAAGUUUGGGGCUGCGAUGCUUAUGUGAAAAAGCUUCAACCUGAUAAGCUUGAACCCAAAUCGGAGAAAUGUGCCUUCAUAGGAUACCCGAAGGAGACUGUUGGGUACACCUUCUAUCACAGAUCCGAAGGCAAGACAUUUGUUGCUAAGAAUGGAUCCUUUCUAGAGAAGGAGUUUCUCUCGAAAGAAGUGAGUGGGAGGAAAGUAGAACUUGAUGAGAUAACUGUACCUGCUCCCUUAUUGGAAAGUAGUACAUCACAGAAACCGGUUUCUGUGACACCUACACCAAUUAGUGAGGAAGCUAAUGAUGAUGAUCAUGAAACUUCAGAACAAGUUACUACUAACCUCGUAGAUCAACCAGAGUAAGAUCUGCACCAGAGUGGUACGGUAAUCCUGUUCUGGAAGUCAUGCUACUAGAUCAUGAUAAACCUACGAACUAUGAAGAAGCAAUGGUGAGCCCAGAUUCCGCAAAAUGGCUUGAAGCCAUGAAAUCUGAGAUGGGAUCCAUGUAUGAGAACAAAGUGUGGACUUUGGUUGACUUGCCCAAUGAUCGGCAAGCAAUUGAAAAUAAAUGGAUCUUCAAGAAGAAGACUGACGCUGACGGUAAUGUUACUGUCUACAAAGCUCGACUUGUCGCAAAAGGUUUUCGACAAAUUCAAGGAAUUGACUACGAUGAGACCUUCUCACCCGUAGCGAUGCUUAAGUAUGUCCGAAUCAUGUUAGCAAUUGCCGCAUUUUAUGAUUAUGAAAUUUGGCAGAUGGAUGUCAAAACUGCAUUCCUGAAUGGAUUUCUGGAAGAAGAGUUGUAUAUGAUGCAGCCGGAAGGUUUUGUCGAUCCAAAAGGAGCUAACAAAGUGUGCAAGCUCCAGCGAUCCAUUUAUGGACUGGUGCAAGCAUCUCGGAGUUGGAAUAAACGCUUUGAUAGUGUGAUCAAAGCAUUUGGUUUUGUACAGACUUUUGGAGAAGCAUGUAUUUACAAGAAAGUGAGUGGGAGCUCUGUAGCAUUUCUGAUAUUAUAUGUGGAUGCCAUAUUGCUAAUCGGAAAUGAUAUAGAAUUUCUGGAUAGCAUAAAGGGAUACUUGAAUAAGAGUUUUUCAAUGAAAGACCUCGGUGAAGCUGCUUACAUAUUGGGCAUUAAGAUCUAUAGAGAUAGAUCAAGACGCUUAAUUGGACUUUCACAAAGCACAUACCUUGAAAAAGUUUUGAAGAAGUUCAAAAUGGAUCAAGCAAAUAAAGGAUUCUUGCCUGUGUUACAAGAUGUGAAGUUGAGUAAGACUGAAUGCCCGACCACUGCAGAAGAUAGAGAGAAAAUGAAAGAUGUUCCCUAUGCUUCAGCCAUAGGCUCUAUCAUGUAUGCAAUGCUGUGUACCAGACCUGAUGUGUGCCUUGCUAUAAGUCUAGCAGGGAGGUGCCAAAGUAAUCCAGGAGUGGAUCACUGGACAACGGUCAAAAACAUCCUGAAAUACCUGAAAAGGACUAAGGAUAUGUUUCUCGUAUAUUGAGGUGACAAAGAGCUCAUCGUAAAUGGUUACAUUGAUGCAAGCUUUGACACUGAUCCAGACGAUUCUAAAUCACAAACCGGAUACGUAUUUACAUUAAACGGUGGAACUGUCAGUUGGUGCAGUUCUAAACAAAGCAUCGUGGCGGGAUCUACAUGUGAAGCGGAGUACAUAGCUGCUUCGGAAGCAGCAAACGAAGGAUUCUGGAUGAAGGAGUUCAUAUCCGAUCUAGGUGUCAUACCUAGUGCAUCGGGUCCAAUGAAAAUCUUUUGUGACAAUACUGGUGAAAUUGCCUUGGCAAAGGAAUCCAGAUUUCACAAGAGAACCAAGCACAUCAAGAGAUGCUUCAAUUCCAUUCGGGAUCUAGUCCAGGUGGGAGACAUAGAGAUUUGCAAGAUACAUACGGAUCUGAAUGUAGCAGACCCAUUGACUAAGCCUCUUCCACGAGCAAAACAUGAUCAGCACCAAGGCUCCAUGGGUGUUAGAAUCAUUACUGUGUAAUCUAGAUUAUUGACUCUAGUGCAAGUGGGAGACUGAAGGAAAUAUGCCCUAGAGGCAAUAAUAAAGUUAUUAUUUAUUUCCUUAUAUCAUGAUAAAUGUUUAUUAUUCAUGCUAGAAUUGUAUUAACCGGAAACGUAAUACUUGUGUGAAUACAUAGACAAACAAAGUGUCACUAGUAUGCCUCUACUUGACUAGCUCGUUAAUCGAAGAUGGUUAUGUUUCCUAACCAUAGACAUGAGUUGUCAUUUGAUUAACGGGAUCACAUCAUUAGGAGAAUGAUGUGAUUUACAUGACCCAUUCCAUUAGCUUAGCACCCGAUCGUUUAGUAUGUUGCUAUUGCUUUCUUCAUGACUUAUACAUGUUCCUAUGACUAUGAGAUUAUGCAACUCCCAUUUACCGGAGGAACACUUUGUGUGCUACCAAACGUCACAACGUAACUGGGUGAUUAUAAAGGUGCUCUACAGGUGUCUCCAAAGGUACAUGUUGGGUUGGCGUAUUUCGAGAUUAGUAUUUGUCGCUCCGAUUGUCGGAGAGGUAUCUUUGGGCCCUCUCGGUAAUACACAUCACUUAAGCCUUGCAAGCAAUGCAACUAAUAAGUUAGUUGCAAGAUGAUGUAUUACGGAACGAGUAAAGAGACUUGCCGGUAACGAGAUUGAACUAGGUAUUGAGAUACCGACGAUCGAAUCUCGGGCAAGUAACAUACCGAUGACAAAGGGAACAACGUAUGUUGUUAUGCGGUCUGACCAAUAAAGAUCUUCGUAGAAUAUGUAGGAGCCAAUAUGAGCAUCCAGGUUCCGCUAUUGGUUAUUGACCGAAGACGUGUCUCGGUCAUGUCUACAUUGUUCUCGAACCCGUAGGGUCCGCACGCUUAACGUUACGAUGACAGUUUUAUUAUGAGUUUAUAUAUUUUGAUAUACCGAAGGUUGUUCGGAGUCCCGGAUGUGAUCACGGACUUGACGAGGAGUCUCGAAAUGGUCGAGAUAUAAAGAUUGAUAUAUUGGACGACUAUAUUUGGACACCAGAAAGGUUCCGGGUAAGAUUGGGACAAUACCGGAUCACCGGGAGGUUAUCGGAACCCCCCGGGAGGUAUAUGGGCCUUAUUGGGCCUUAGUGGAAAGGAGGGGAAAGGAGCAAGGGAGGGGGCGCCCCCCCCCAAGCCCAAUCCGAAUUGGAAGGGGGGCCGGGCCCCCCUUUCCUUCCUCCCUCCUUCCUCUUCCUUCCCUCUCAUACUCCUAAUAGGAAAAAGGGGAGUCCUACUCCCGAUGGGAGUUGGACUCCCCCCUUGGGCGCGCCACCCUCCUUGGCCGGCCCCCUCCUCCACUCCUUUAUAUACGGGGGCAGGGGGCACCCUAGAGACACAACAAUUGAUCAUUGAUCUCUUAGCCGUGUGCAGUGCCCCCCUCCACCAUAAUCCUCGAUAAUAUUGUAGCGGUGCUUAGGCGAAGCCCUGCGACGGUAGAACAUCAAGAUCGUCACCACGCCGUCGUGCUGACGGAACUCAUCCCCGACACUUUACUGGAUCGGAGUCCGGGGAUCGUCAUCGAGCUGAACAUGUGCAAAACUCGGAGGUGCCGUAGUUUCGGUGCUUGAUUGGUCGGGCCGUGAAGACGUACGACUACAUCAACCACGUUGUUAUAACGCUUCCGCUUCCGGUCUACGAGGGUACAUAGACAACACUCUCCCCUCUUGUUGCUGUGCAUCACCAUGAUCUUGCGUGUGCGUAGGAAAUGUUUUGAAAUUACUACGUUCCCCAACAGGAUAGUUAUGUGAUCCAAUUAUGUUAUUGUUGAGAGGACUUGCACUAGUGAAAGUAUGAACACUAGGCCUUGUUUCAACGCAUUGCAAUACCGUUUACGCUCACUUUUAUCAUUAGUUACCUUGCUGUUUUUAUAAUUUCAGAUUACAAAAACCUUUAUCUACCAUUCAUAUUGCACUUGUAUCACUAUCUCUUCGCCGAACUAGUGCACCUAUACAAUUUACCAUUGUAUUGGGUGUGUUGGGGACACAAGAGACUCUUUGUUAUUUGGUUGCAGGGUUGCUUGAGAGAGACCAUCUUCAUCCUACGCCUCCUACAGAUUGAUAAACCUUAGGUCAUCCACUUGAGGGAAAUUUGCUACUGUCCUACAAACCUCUGCACUUGGAGGCCCAACAACGUCUACAAGAAGAAGGUUGUGUAGUAGACAUCAAGGGGAAACAAGAGAAAGUUCGGAGCAAAACAGUGAGGCGGCCUCCCUUGAGGAGGGCCGCCGGUCAAGAUGAGAACCCUAUGCUGGAACUGUCGUGGGAUUGGCGACCCCGCGACAGUACUGAGCUCCGCGAUCUUAUGGAGGCUAGUGCGCCGUCGGUGCUUUGUAUAGUGGAGACACAGAUAGCAAAGAACCGAGUGGAGGGUUUGGAGGCUUCGUUAGGUUUUGAUAGUAGCUUUGCAGUAGCAAGUAGUGGAAGGAGUGGAGGAUUAUGUAUUUUCUGGAAAUCAACUGUUGAUCUUUUAAUAAAAAAACUUUUCUCAAUACCACAUUGACUCAUGGGUUUCUGAACCAGGCGCCGUGCAAUGGCAUUUGACGUGUUUCUAUGGGGAGGCAAAUAGGAGCUGUUGGAAAUAUGCCCUAGAGGCAAUAAUAAAUUGGUUAUUAUUAUAUUUCAUUGUUCAUGAUAACCGUUUAUUAUCCAUGCUAGAAUUGUAUUGAUAGGAAACUCAGAUACAUGUGUGGAUACAUAGACAACACCAUGUCCCUAGUAAGCCUCUAGUUGACUAGCUCGUUGAUCAAUAAGAUGGUUACGGUUUCCUGACCAUGGACAUUGGAUGUCGUUGAUAACGGGAUCACAUCAUUAGGAGAAUGAUGUGAUGGACAAGACCCAAUCCUAAGCCUAGCACAUAGAUCUUGUAGUUCGUAUGCUAAAGCUUUUCUAAUGUCAAGUAUCAUUUCCUUAGACCAUGAGAUUGUGCAACUCCCGGAUACCGUAGGAGUGCUUUGGGUGCGCCAAACGUCACAACGUAACUGGGUGGCUAUAAAGGUUCUUACAGGUAUCUCCGAAAGUGUCUGUUGGGUUGGCACGAAUCGAGACUGGGAUUUGUCACUCCAUGUAAACGGAGAGGUAUCUCUAGGCCCACUCGGUAGGACAUCAUCAUAAUGUGCACAAUGUGAUCAAGGAGUUGAUCACGGGAUGAUGUGUUACGGAACGAGUAAAGAGACUUGCCGGUAACGAGAUUGAACAAGGUAUCGGGAUACCGACGAUCGAAUCUCAGGCAAGUAUCGUACCGAUGGACAAAGGGAAUUGAAUACGGGAUUGAUUGAAUCCUCGACAUCGUGGUUCAUCCGAUGAGAUCAUCGUGGAACAUGUGGGAGCCAACAUGGGUAUCCAGAUCCCGCUGUUGGUUAUUGGCCGGAGAGUUGUCUCGGUCAUGUCUGCAUGGUUCCCGAACCCGUAGGGUCUACACACUUAAGGUUCGAUGACGCUAGGGUUAUUAGGAAGACUUGUAUGUGAUUACCGAAUGUUGUUUGGAGUCCCAGAUGAGAUCCCGGACGUCACGAGGAGUUCCAGAAUGGUCCGGAGGUAAAGAUUUAUAUAUGGAAAGUUGUUGUUCGGGUUUCGGGAAAAGUUCGGUUUUUCCCGGUAUUGUAUCGGGAAGCUUCCGGAAGGUUCCGGAGGAUUCUGGAGGGGUCCGGAGGUCCGGAAAAUGUUCCACCACGUCCAAUAUAGCAACAUGGGCUGUAGGGGGGCGCCCUAACCUUAAUGGGCCAAGGGCACCAGCCCCCCCCCCAAGGCCCAUGCGCAUGGGAGACGGGAAACCCUAAGGGGGAGGGCCUCCACUUGACUUGGGAGGCACUCCUCCCCCCCUUGGCCGCUGCCCCAACCCUAGAUGGGAUCUAGGGGGGCCGGCCCCCCUCUCUCCCCACCUAUAAAUAGUGGAGGGGUAGGAGGGCGACCACACCCUGACCCUGGCGCAGCCCUCCCUCCUCCUACCUUCUCCUCCUCCUCCAUGGUGCUUGGCGAAGCCCUGCCGGAGAACCACAAGCUCCUCCACCACCACGCCGUCGUGCUGUUGGACUUCUUCCUCAACCUCUCCCUCCUCCUUGCUGGAUCAAGGCGUGGGAGACGUCUCCAUUCCAUACGUGUGUUGAACGCGGAGGUGUUGUCCGUUCGGCGCUAGGAUCAUCGGUGAUUUGGAUCACGACGAGUACGACUCCAUCAACCCCGUUCACUUGAACGCCUCCGCUUAGUGAUCUACAAGGGUAUGGAGAUGCACUCUCCUUCCCCUCGUUGCUAGAUUACUCCAUAGAUUGAUCUUGGUGAUGCGUAGAAAAUUUUGAAUUUCUGCUACGAUCCCCAACAGGAGCCUGAGAUAUAAAACUUGAGACACGAUGAGGAGAUUGCGAGGAGAGAGUACCCUGCCUUGGGUUUGCAUCGGCAACUUUAAUGAGAUUUUGCGCCAAGAAGAGCAGAUGGGCCCAAACACCCGAGACAGCUCGCAGAUCGCUGGGUUUCGGGAGGCUGUUGAUGUUUGUGGCUUGUCGGACCUGGGUUAUAAGGGUUUGGAUUGGACAUUUGAGAAGCGGGUGACGGGGGGAUAGUACUGCAGGGUCAGGCUGGAUAGAGCAUUGGCAACAUCUAGUUGGUCGAGCUUGUUUCCAUUUGCUAGCGUGGAGCACCUGACAGCAGCGAAGAGUGAUCAUAGUCCCAUCCUACUGUUGAAUGACUUGGAGGUUGGGGACCAGAGAAUGAACAUAAAUAAACCGUUUCGCUAUGAGUGCGCAUGGGAGACAGACAGUCGCUUCGCAGCAACUGUGGAAGCUGCAUGGAAUGAAGACGGCCCUGGAGGUUCGGUGUCCGAGCUGGCAAACAAGUUGCAUUCUGUUUCUUCGGCCAUGACACGAUGGGGGCGGCACACUUUUGGUUCUGUUCGUAUGGAGUUGCGUUCUCUUCGCCGCCAACUAGCUUUGCUACGAGAGGAACCGACACGCACGGGUCCCAGCCGAGAAGAGAAAGCUAUUGAGGAUCGAAUGAUAGAAUUAGCCUAUCGGGAGGAGAUAAUGGUGAGGCAGCGAUCCCGCAUCACCUGGCUUUCUGAAGGUGAUCGGAACACAUAAUUUUUUCAGAGGAAAGCAAGCGCGAGAAGGUCUAAGAACAGAAUAACACAGUUGAACCGGGAGGAUGGCUCCGCUUGUACGGACAGGGACGAGCUGGCAAACAUGGCAACGGAAUUUUAUGCAAACUUGUAUACAUCAGAGGGCACUAUUGGCAUGGAAGAGGUGCUAUCACAUAUACCGGUGCAAGUAGAUGGCAUAAUGAACUCAAAGUUGAAUGAAACUUACAGUAAAGAGGAAGUAAAGGAGGCCCUCUUCCAAAUGUUUCCGACCAAAGCACCGGGCCCGGACGGUUUCCCCGCCCACUUCUUUCAGAAGCAUUGGGAACUUUGUGGGGACAAGGUAACAAGAAUGAUCAUUCGAGUGCUCGAUGGAGUAGAUUCACUGGAGGAGAUUAACAACAUGUUCAUUGUUUUAAUUCCCAAGAUAGCGAGUCCAAAAGUUUUAGGAAAAUUUCGGCCAAUAAGCCUUUGUAACGUGAUCUACAAGAUCGCCUCAAAGGUCUUAGCAAAUCGGCUGAAAUCCAUUCUCCCUGAUAUCAUCUCUGAAGAGCAGUCGGCUUUCGUUCCUGGACGCCUUAUAACGGAUAACUUCAUAACAGCCUAUGAGUGCUUGCAUUACAUGAAAACCAGGAGGGUCAAAGGUAACUGAUAUUGUGCUCUAAAAUUGGAUAUGAUGAAGGCAUAUGAUCGUUUGGAGUGGUCAUCUCUCGAGGCAGUGAUGACUAAGAUGGGAUUCAGCCCUAGGUUCAUUGCUAUUGUAAUGAGGUGCGUGUCCUCGGUCUCUUUCUCUGUUCUCUUCAAUGGAGGGAGCUUGGAUGUUUUCAGGCCUUCCCGGGGCUUGCGGCAAGGAGACCCUAUAUUGCCUUACCUGUUCUUGCUAGCGGCCGAGGGUUUAUCGUGUCUAUUGAAGGCGCAAGGGGCAGUGCGUGGGAUAGAGGUUGCUCCAAAUGAUCCUACAGUUAACCACUUGCUUUUUGCCGACGACAAUUCGCUAUUUUUUGAAGCCUCCGAUGAGAGUGCUACAAGAGUCAGAGAUAUACUAACAACAUAUUGCAAUGCCUUUGGCCAAAGGAUAAAUCAAGAAAAGUCUUCCAUCUUCUUCAGUAAAGGAGUGCCUGUUUUGACAAAAGAGUCGAUCAAGCAAACUUUGAAUGUUCAUAAUGAAUCUUUAUCAUAGAAAUACCUAGGCUUACCCUCGGAUGUGGGUAGAGCAAAGGAAGGAUCCUUUAGAUAUCUUAAGGACAGAAUCUGGAAGCGAGUUCAAGGGUGGAUGGAGAAGUGCUUAUCAGCUGGGGGGUAAAGAAGUGCUCAUUAAAUCCGUGGCCCAAUCCAUCCCUACAUAUUCGAUGGCGUGUUUCAAAUUACCACUGGGUCUCUGUGAGCAUAUCAAUGGCAUAAUUAGGAAAUUCUGGUGGGGAAGUAAGAAUGGAGAAAGGAAAACAGCGUGGGUCUCAUGGAGUACAAUGACUAAACCGAAAUACAUGGGAGGUUUAGGCUUUCGAGACAUUGAAUUGUUCAACCUGGCAUUGCUUGCUCACCAAGCCUGGAGGCUAUUACAGGAGCCUGAGACGUUGAGCGCAAGAGUUCUUCGAGCCCGCUAUUACCCCGAUGCAAAUAUCCUCGAUGCUACCCUGGGUCAGGCCCCGUCCCAGGUUUGGUGGUCGAUUUUGGAAGGGAGGGAUGUGUUGUCUUUAGUGCUGAUCAAGAGAAUAGGUGAUGGUUCCACUACCCGGAUUUGGACUGACAAUUGGAUACUGAGGGACUAUAAACUACGACCGAUUUGCGCUUUAACAGCUAACCCACCAACUUCGGUGGCGGAGCUUAUCAAUCCCGUGACUCGCUCUUGGGAUAGGCAAAUGCCCUCGGAUAAUUUCAUAGCACUGGAUAUUGAGAUGAUCAUCAAUAUACCCAUCAGUAACCACGUGCAAGAUGACUUCUGGGCGUGGCACUAUGAUCGGCGUGGUGUUUUUUCAGUUCGUUCAGCGUACCGGAUGAUUACGGCUAUCAAAGCUCCAAUGUUCGAGAAAGCGGAAAGCAUAAGCGAAGCGGAAGGCCACAACUUAGAGCAAUGAGUGCUUAAGCGCGGCUUAAUCACACUUAAGCGUUUUUUGAAAUUGGCUAGAAUUUGACAGAUUUUGAAUGAUAUACACAUGAAAAUAGGAAGCAUGGCACAUGGGUAAUUGAAGUAGCAUCUGAAAUACAGUUCACACAAUAGCAAAUACAUAUCAGGUUAGGAUAGCAAGCAAAAUAACAACUAAAAUGCAGUUCAGUUCAAAUAGACAUAACCUAACAGAUAUCAUGUGGACAGAAUUUUGCCAAAAUAUGAAGGAAAUAGUUCUUGAACAUAGCCUAGUAAUAAGAUAAAUAGCAUAUUGCCAUUAUUGCGCAAGCAGACCAGCAAAAGAAGUACAAAAAUUGCCAAAUUUUGGUCAAAUUUAAAUAAAAAACGCUUAAUCUACCGCUUAGGGAAAAAGCGAAGCGAUUUGCCAUCGCCCAGUGCUUAAUUGCACUUAAGCGUCGCUUAAAAACGCUUUCUUGAGAUCGGGACACUCAAACGUUGCAGCUGACAGGAGAUCAUGGACACAGUUAUGGAAGGUGAAAGUGUCAUCCAAAAUUCGUGUUUUCGUGGGGCGACUCGCUCACACUUCGCUUCCCACGGGGCUGGUCCGGCACCAGAGGAAAAUGGAAGAUAAUCCUGUCUGCUCUAUAUGCAAUGCAGCGGAGGACUCAUGGAGGCAUUCACUUUUAAGCUGUACAAUGGCAAGGUGCAUGCGGGCGCUGGGAGACGAUGAGUUGCUUGAGCAUGUGAUAUCGAACCAAAAUGAGGAUGACAGGCUCUGGCUUUUCUGGCUCUUUGAGACCACAAGCCAACAUGCCCUUGCUCGUGUUCUGGUGACCAUGUUGGCGAUAUGGUGGGCUCGGAGAAAGACUAUCCAUGACAAUGAGUUUCAGAGUCCAUUAUCAACAAUGUGCUUCAUCAAGAGAUAUUUAGAUGACCUUGAGAUUGCAGAUGUCACGACACCAAGACCAUUCUUAGGGAGGGUGGAUCGGCCCCGUGCUAAAGCAUGGUUACCAUCUACGAGGGAGGCGGCAAAACUAAAUUGUGACGGAGCUCUUUCCACCUUGGGAGAAAGGGGAGCUGCUACAGUGGUAUGUAGGGACAAGACAGGGAACCUAUCUGGGAGCAUCAACAGUGGUGUAUGAUGGCAUGAUUGACCCAGCGAGCCUAGAGGCGCUAGCUUGUAGCGAAGCCCUCGCCCUUGCUCGGGAUUUAAACUUGCAAGACUUGGAGGUAGCCUCAGACUGUCAGGAGGUGAUAUCGCACAUCAGAGAUGGAGGGGCGCCGGUCUAUGCUCCUAUCCUUAGGGAAAUUCAAUUUAGUAGGAAUUUUUUUACUUCUAUUAUUUUCCGUUUCAAAUACAGGGAGAAUAAUUUUGAGGCCCACUCGCUAGCUAAAGGAGUUGCGUCUCUUGCGGUGGGUCGCCAUGUGUGGCUAGGGGUUUUGCCCGACAUUACUUGUAUUCCUCAGUUUUUGAGUCUUGAAUAAAGCCCCUAGUUUACCCUAAAAAAACCUAGUAUCAUGAAGUGCUUACUAGAUGCUGGUGCUAACCCCGGUAUUCUUGAUGAAGUGAGUCUUAUAUUGUUUCCUCCUCCUUUGCCUUCGUGAUCUACUUUUAAUGCAUAUUUUUUGUUAGUCUUUGGAUGAAUAUUUUUGCCUCAACCGGGACAUGUUAGGUUGAUAGGUUCUAGGCAGAGACAAAAUGAAAGUAGACCCACAUAUUUAUUGUGUACCAUUAUAAGGUUUUGCACUGCUAUGAUCAGUAGAAAUCUUCUUCAGUUCUUCUAGGUGUUGAACUUUCCAUUUGCUGCCCAUCGAAGACUGACAUAGGGCUCUCUACUCUUAUUUGUUUUUGCAGGAAUCCUUUGUAAUCAGCAUCCUGUAUAAUUAUCUCUUUGGAGAGUGCCUUGCAGAAUUUUCAUAUAUUUGUUUAUUUGCCAAUCGAGAAAUUCUCCAGCUUCAUUGCCUUGCCAAGUAGACACAUAGUGCUAAUUUUUGUAAAGACUUAUUCUUCUAUGUAUGUUGUUGUGUUGAUGGCAUAUUCUCUCUAUCCUACUUGACAAAAUAAUGCAAUCUAAGAAACACAUUUGUAUGAGAUUCAGAUUAAUAUUUUAUUAUUUUUACAGGAGUUAACCUUACAAAAAAAUGUUUUACACACUUUUUCCAAAAAAACACAUGACAAUAUUUCUACGGGACAAAUGUAUUUUUGCCCCUAGUUGGAACCUACCCACGGGUUUUGCCCUUACUUUUCGACUCUGCUCAGUUUUGCCCUUAGAUUUUUCUCCGAGGUCACCUGAAUGCCCUUUGACUGUUUGACCAAUACUUUGAAAACUCGUAAUAAAUUGAUAUGAACUCAGAAAAAUGCAAAUAAGAUAUCAAAAGUUUCAGAUAAACAUUACCUUUAUGUGCAUGUCAUUUGCAUUUAGGACAAAAGUACUGUUUAAACUACCUAAGGUUAUUAAUGUUUUUAACAUUAUUAAAAAUAAAAAGGUAUAAACAAUACUUAUUUCAGGAAUAAAAUUUACAUGCAAAUGUAGGUGACAUUUUCUGAAUACCCUGAUAUCUUGUUUGCAUUUUUCUGAGUUCAUAUCAACUUGUUAUGAAGUUUCAAGAAACUUCAUAACAAGUUGAUAUGAACUCAGAAAAAUGCAAAAAAAAAGAUAUCAGGAUGUUCAGAAAACAUCACCUACAUUUGCAUGUAAUUUUUAUUGUUGAAAAAAUUAUUUUUAUACCUUUUUAUUUUUAAUAAUGUUAAUAACAUUAAUAACCUCGGGUAGUUUUAACGAUACUUUUGUCCUUAAUGCAAAUGAGAUGCACAUAAAGGUAAUGUUCUUCUGAACAUUUUGAUAUCUUAUUUGCAUUUUUCCGAGUUCAUAUGAAUUUGCUAUGAAUUUUUAAAGUACUGGUCAAACGGUCAAAAGGCAUUCGGGCGACCUCGGGGGCAAAUCUAAGUGCAAAAUUGAGCAGAGUCGAAAAGUAAGGGCAAAACCCGUGGGUAGGUUCCAACUAGAGGCAAAAAUGCAAUUGUCCCUAUUUCUACAUAUACAUUAAUUUUGUGCUACCACGUGUCGGGUAGCCCACAUGGUCGAUUCUUACCGAGGUGUACUUUCCACUUUUUGAAUGGCGCACAUGAGCCAUACUUUUCUUUGGGGAAACUUUCAUAAAAUGCAUGUAUGAAAAUUCAGGAAUUUUUGUUUUAGAUUUUUGAACAUUUGAAUAUUCAAAAUGAACUUUAAAAAUAUUUUAAUGUUAAAAAAAUUAAAGUGAGAUAUUUCGAAACUUGAAAAAAAUUCCGACUUGUGAUAUUUUUUAACUUUCAUUUUUUGUACUUUACACAAGAAACUGGAAAGUUGGAAAUGUCACACACGUAGGCCCCACCUCUUCAUCCGGUACCGCAUGUGUAGCCAACUGUUACCGCACGUGCUUGUGUGCCCACUCCCCCACCCCUCCCCGCGUACGACGAAGGCUUCCGACGCCUUCCACAUUCCUGGCCCCCACCAUGACGAGUGUGUCGCAAAAAAGCGUGUCCGGACAACCAUACCCAAUGUGCUCCCAUCCUUGACUGGGGGUGCAUUAAACUAUGGAGGAGCAAUUUCGCUCUCGAAGAUUCACGUGGUCAAGUCACCAAAAUAACUCAUUUACACACUUUCUCCAAGACAAACAUGACAAUAUUUCCACAUAUACAUUGAUUUUAUGAUAUCAUGUGCCAGAUUCUUACGAAUGUGUACGUUCCACUUUUUGAAUGGCGCACAUGAUCCAUACUUUUCUUUGGGAAACUUUCAUAAAAUUCAGAAAAAUUUGUUUUAGAUUUUUGAACAUUUGGAUAUUUAAAAUGAACUUUAAAAAACAUUUUUAAUGUUAAAAAAAUUAAGGUUGAGAUUUUUGAAACUUGAACUUUCAAAAUUCUGACUUGUUAUAUCUUUUAACUUCAUUUUUUAAUGUUGUACAAAAGAAAAGGAAAAGCUAGAAAAUGCCACACAUGUAGGCGCCACCUCUUCAUCUCGUACCACGUAUGUUGCCAACUGUUGCUGACGUGCCCUAUCCCCCCACCACUCCCGCAUACGACGACGGCUUCCGGUGCCUUCCACGCACCUGGCCCCACAUGACGACUGUGUAGAAAAAGUGCGUCCCAACAACCAUAUCCAUCGUGGAUGCAUUAAACAAGUGGAGGAGCGUAUUGUGCUCGAAGGUCCAUGUGGUCCAGUUACCAAAAAAACUCAUUUACACAUUGUCUCCAAAAAAACAUGACAAUAGUUCUACAUAUACAUUGCUUUAUGUAAUAAUAUGUCAAAAGAUGCAGUAAUUUGUUUGUUUCUUAUUUUGUAUACAUCACCAAUAGAUAUGUGUUGGAACUAAAACACAUUUUUAAUGCUAAAAAAAUUGAAGUUGAGAAUUUUCAAAACUUGAACUCUCAAAAGUCUGACUUGUGAUUUCUUUUAACUUUCAUUAUUUUUAACUUUAGAUGAUUAGAUGAAAAAAGGAAAGCUAAACAAAUGCCGCGCGGGUGGGCCUUACCUCUUCAUCGCGUACCACAUGUGUAGUCAACUCUUGCCACUCGUGUUCCCCAUAAAAGCGCGUCCCAACAACACUACCAGUGCGGGGUGCAUUAAACAGUGAAGGAGCGUUUUUUUAAUUUUCAUUUUUUAAAACUUUACUCGGGAAAAGGGAAAGCAAAAAAAGUGUCAUGUCAGUGGGCCCAGGCUUUUCAUCCCGUACCACGUGUGUAACCAACUGUUGUCACCCGUGCUUGCGUGGCCACCCCACUACUUCCACGUCCCCGUGCCUCCCGCGUGUCUGGCCCCCACCAUGACGAGCGUUCCUCGAAAAACGCGUCCCAACAACCCUACCAAGUGUAGGUGCACUAAACAUUGGAGGAGCGUUUUCUUUUGACCUUCAUUUUUUUUACUUUACACGAAAAAAGGGAANNNNNNNNNNNNNNNNNNNNNNNNNNNNNNNNNNNNNNNNNNNNNNNNNNNNNNNNNNNNNNNNNNNNNNNNNNNNNNNNNNNNNNNNNNNNNNNNNNNNNNNNNNNNNNNNNNNNNNNNNNNNNNNNNNNNNNNNNNNNNNNNNNNNNNNNNNNNNNNNNNNNNNNNNNNNNNNNNNNNNNNNNNNNNNNNNNNNNNNNNNNNNNNNNNNNNNNNNNNNNNNNNNNNNNNNNNNNNNNNNNNNNNNNNNNNNNNNNNNNNNNNNNNNNNNNNNNNNNNNNNNNNNNNNNNNNNNNNNNNNNNNNNNNNNNNNNNNNNNNNNNNNNNNNNNNNNNNNNNNNNNNNNNNNNNNNNNNNNNNNNNNNNNNNNNNNNNNNNNNNNNNNNNNNNNNNNNNNNNNNNNNNNNNNNNNNNNNNNNNNNNNNNNNNNNNNNNNNNNNNNNNNNNNNNNNNNNNNNNNNNNNNNNNNNNNNNNNNNNNNNNNNNNNNNNNNNNNNNNNNNNNNNNNNNNNNNNNNNNNNNNNNNNNNNNNNNNNNNNNNNNNNNNNNNNNNNNNNNNNNNNNNNNNNNNNNNNNNNNNNNNNNNNNNNNNNNNNNNNNNNNNNNNNNNNNNNNNNNNNNNNNNNNNNNNNNNNNNNNNNNNNNNNNNNNNNNNNNNNNNNNNNNNNNNNNNNNNNNNNNNNNNNNNNNNNNNNNNNNNNNNNNNNNNNNNNNNNNNNNNNNNNNNNNNNNNNNNNNNNNNNNNNNNNNNNNNNNNNNNNNNNNNNNNNNNNNNNNNNNNNNNNNNNNNNNNNNNNNNNNNNNNNNNNNNNNNNNNNNNNNNNNNNNNNNNNNNNNNNNNNNNNNNNNNNNNNNNNNNNNNNNNNNNNNNNNNNNNNNNNNNNNNNNNNNNNNNNNNNNNNNNNNNNNNGCUAAAAAAAUGUUGCACGGAUGGGCUUUACCUCUUCAUCUCGUACCACGUGUGUAGCCAACUGUUGCCACUCAUGCUUGCGUGGGCACCCCACCACUCCCGCGUACGACGAUGCCUCCCCGCGCCCCCCUCAUGCCUGGACCCCACCAUGAGGAGCGUUCCCGGAAAAAGCGCGUCCCAACAACCCUACCCAGUGCGGCAGUGAAGGAGCGUUUUCUUUUAACUUUUAUUUUUUAAAACAUUACACGGGAAAAGGAAAAGCUAAAAGCAUGUUGCGCCGAUGGAUCCUGCCUCUUCAUCACGUACCACGUGUGUAGUCAAGUGUUGCCAUUCGUGCUUGCAUGGGCACCCCACCUCGCCCACGUACGACGACGCCUCCCCGCGCCUUCCGCGUGCUGGUCCCCACCAUGACAGGCUUUCCUUGAAAAAGCACGUUCCGACAACGCUACCCAGUGCGGGUGCAUUAAACAGUGGAGGAGUGUUUCUUUUGACCUUAAUUUUUUUUAACUUUACAGGGGAAAGGAACAACAAAAGAAAUCAGGCCUCUUUUGGUUCAUAAGAUAGGAUUAUCAUAGAAAUAGGAAUCUUGUAGGAAAUGAGAUGACAUGUAUAUCAAAUCUUAUGAGUAGGAAUAGGAAACAAGAUGUCAUUUGGUUGACACCAGAGGAAUUUUUUCAUUGAGUCUAGACUCUUUUUUAUUUUUCUAUGAAAUGUGGAGGAUAUGAGCUAAUCCUAUGUAAGAAUAGGAAUACAUUCCUAUGAAUCAAAAGGUCUUUAAAGGAAAAAAUCCCAUAAGAUUUCUCCAAACCAAAGGAGGCCUGGCAGAGGGGUGUACAAAUUAAAAGCCACUCUCCAUCUGCGGCACUUCUCCACUGCGACUGCGACUGCUCUCUCCUGACUGGAGUCAGUGUCUCGGGUGCUGCUGACCCGCCGUCUUCUCCGCUUGCCGUGCCGCCAUCGCCAUGGAUGGGGUUUCGACGGAGCCUCGCCACCCGCUCCUGCAGGCCGUUCUCGACGGCGACCUCCGCCUCCUCAAAGGUACUAGCAACAACAAGCAGCCCGCUGCCUCCUAUUGCUCCUGCCCCUACCCUUAGGGUUCCUUCCUUCGUGAUGGUAAUUUGGCUGGAUCGUGUGCGCAGAGAUGGCGGGCGUCGUGGCGGCGGACGUCGGCAUCAGGGCGCGCGCGCUGACUGUGGCGGUCAUGGAAGGGCGGCUGGACAUCUGUAGGUGCCUCGUCGAGGACCACGGCGUCGACGUCAACCAGCGCACCUUCACAGGUUAAUUAGUCCGGUUCCCUUUGGAUCUCUUCGCCUCAAUUCUGCUGCACCUCCCAGGCUAGACGCACAAGUGCACAUCACAUCUCAGUAAUCCCAGGUUAAUUUGGUUCUUUUGUUUUGUUGCAGGUGACACUCCUCUGGCCAUUUCUGCGACUUAUGGGACGCCUGCUACCACCAGAUAUCUUCUGGAUCGUGGUGCUGAUCCAACUUUAGCUGGUGCCCUGUGGCCACCUCUUCAUGCUGCUGCAAGUUUUGGUAUCCCCUCGCCUCUCCCACACGCGUGCAGCCUGUUCAACUUCCAUCCUGCCAUAUGUUUUUAUUGACAUCUAGUAUUCACCAAGUUCAGACAUAUGUGAUUUGGACGGUGGAACAAGCAGAAACAAUGAGUUUCUGUACGGCAACUUUGAGGAUUGGAAUGUAAAGUAAAUUGGUGUUAAUUAAUUCUAGUCUUGUUUGCUCACAGAUCGAUUUUCGGGAGAGAAAACACCGUGUCACUCUCAAGUGUUAAUUCUAUUCUUGUUUGCUCACAAAUCGAUGAUUUUUGCUAGCUACUGCCUAUAUUUAGAUAGAAAAACAACUAGCUAGAAGUCAAAUAUUCUAAACUUGGUCCUGGACAUGAUCAUUGGUAACUGGCGGUUAUCACAUUUGCAAGUGUACAAUUCAAAAAAACAUUUGCAAGUGUCUACAUUUUUUUCUUUUUGCAAAAAUAAGCUUAUCUUGCUGAUUUUUUCUACAAACUUGUAUUCUAGGACAAUGUGAGAUAGUGGAAUUGCUGCUUUCAACUGGAAUUGAUGUGGAUCAUUUCGAUUCUGUGUAUGGGACCGCAUUGCAUGUUGCCGCUACUAAUGGUCAAGAUGGCUCGAUGAAUAUUUUGUUGCAGCAUCAUGCAGAUGUAAGUCACCACUUUCUUCCUUCUCUUCUGGGCUGUGCAAAAGUAAAUCCUGGUUGGUUUCUUAAGGCCCUAAGCGGCUUUAUCUCCAGUUCAUAACUAUCAUGCAUGCAAUGUAAUGAGAAGUGGAAAUACUGUUGUCUGUUAGUACUUGGGCUCAAUCAUCUGAACCGUAAGAGUUUGUUUAUGUUGGCACAAAGCAAAACAUAUAUACAAUGUUUGUCGUUUGACCAUAAAUAAUUCUCCUGAAAUGAAACAUGCUUAUUUUCUCACAGGUGCUCUAAAUGUUUGUCUAAUUUUUAUAAUUAAAUCAAAAAAAUGUAUGCUUCUGUGCGUUGAGAAAUGCCAAUAUGUGACACACACACACACACACACACAAUGUGCUUAUUUUAUUUCCCCAUUACUCCUUUUUUUGCAAGUGAAUAAAUUGGUUUUUCUACUUUCCACAGCCCAAUAAGGUUUUCCGCCUUGAUAGUACCCCGUUAAGGCUGGCCAUGAUUUCUGAAUCACUGGAAUGUGUGAAGCUACUCAUUAAGGUCAGUAAUCUUUCUCGUUUAUGGAGCUUCCUUUAGUGUAGUCUACAUUUUCUGCAGUUGACAUCUCAAGCACUUACUCAGAUGAAACUAAAAUUUAUUUACACAGGCUGGCGCUGAUGUGAAUAAAAUUGACUAUACUGGUGUUACUUACUUGAUGAUAGCAGCGGGCAAUGGCUUAUCUGAUACCCUGAAAUGCUUACUAGAUGCUGGCGCUAACCCAGAUAUUGAUGAUGGGGUGAGUCACUGAGUCUUGUAUUGUUUUCUCCCCCUCUGCCUUCAUGCUCUACUUUCAUGCGUAUUAUCUGUUCGUAGUUGGCUGAAUGGUUGUGCCUCGGUGGGACAUGUUAGGUUCUAGGCUGUUGAGAGAUUAGGAUAAACUAGCGUGUAGUGCGCGGCGGCACGCCGCGCCACAUGGAUUGAUAAGUUAUUUAUUUAUUUUUGUAAUUUUUGGUAAGUCGUCUCAAGGCUUAAUUCACGACAAAUUAGUUAUUUUUUUUUUGGUAAUUUUUGGUAAGUCGUCUCAAGGCUUAAUUCACGGCAAAUUAGUUAUUUGUUUUUUUGGUAAUUUUUGGUAAGUCGUCUCAAGGCUUAAUUCACGACAAAGUAGUUCAUAUAAGAAAAGGGUGUAUGCAUAAGUGAUCUACAGUAGGUGGGAAAAGGGUGCAUCUAGUCUAGGCGGUAUAUGCAUAAGUGAUCUACAGUACGUGAUGAUAGUGGCUACUGGAUACAAAAUUGCAAAGCUCUAGUUCUUUUCUUAGACCUGAGGUUAGCUAAAAAAAGGAUUGUUCUUCGCUAACAAAUAGAAGAUGAUGCCAACAAUGAGGCUGUUUCAAGACCCCAUUUAUUUAAUCACUACCGGUCAGUUUUCAUACUACAUAUAUACUGGGAAACACUCAAGAAGACCACAUGUGCAACUUUAACACAGCUUCCUGGAACAAUCAACUGUCUUUUUAGAGAAUUCAUUAGCAUGGAUGAUAUACAAUGCGCCAAAUCCAUAACAGCUCGGCUUCGUGGAACAAUCAACUGUCCUUUUAGAGAAUUAAUUAGCACGGAUGAUGUCCGAUCAGCACGAUGUAUGCAAACAUUUGAGUUGCUUUAAUAUCAGGAUUGAAAUCUGUAGAAAUUCAUGUGACCAGACCACACUAUCUAAGGACCAAGGAAAAUCUCAUGAUAAAAUUGUCAGCUUUAUGUAAGAUAGCAAUGAUGCUAGAAAUGGGAAGUUCCAGGGGCCUAAGUUUUAUACUGAUAACGCAUGGCAUGCCACUCUAUACUUAAAUCUCAGGCCAUUAGAACCUUAGAAACAUGGAAAAUCCCUUGUGGCCUCAAGAAAACAAUCAAGUAUGAAAGAAAAAAGAAAGAAAAUAGACGGAGUAUAUAAUUAGCAACCUUCCAAAAUAAAAUACGAUAAAUGACAUGGAGAAGGCACAAGUUCACUUAGAUUUGUAGGUACUUCCAUUUAGAAAAGGAAUUGUACAAACUAAUUGCUAGAGCAGCAAUGAAGCAGUGAACAAAAAAAAGAAAAGAUUGUAGGAAGUUCCACAUAAUAAGCAACCUUGAGAUAGAGAUGACAAAAGGCUGAAACGACCUUGGCUCCCAGAAGUUGUGUAGGGUGUGGUCGUUUUUUCUCUGAGUGCAAGAAAGCAAAGAAAAUAAUAAUUCUGAAGUUACCCAAAUAUCCACAAUAGGGUUAUUUACUGGCAGUAAUUGGUAUUGAAAAGGUAGGCGCUAAGUAGCUCUCUAAUAUAUAUUUUGUUUGGAGAAUCUUAUAGGAAAUGUUGGUCUAUGCUCUUUACUAUUUAACCAGAGCAUGAUUAUUAUAAACAAAAAAUGGUACAUGCAUAUUAGACAAUGUGAAUCAGUAGGCACUGAAUUGGAAGCAUGAUUAACAAGGGAGAAAGUGAAGUCCUGUUAUGCAGUUGUUAGUUGGUAGUUGAGCAGUUUUAACAUGCUCCCCCUUAUCUCCUUUUUUCACAUGAGAGGUAAGAGCAUAUAAUAGAUCUGACCCGUUGAUCUCAUUAAUUGGUGGUCUGAUUAACUCUUACCUUCUUACGUGACAUGUAAAAAGCUGGGGUAAGAGGGAGCAUGUUAAAAUUUGCCUAGCUGGUAAUCAGGAGCUAGAAUGAUUUACAAAAGGAGAUGUAUAGCCAGUUCAAGCAUUUAGGAAUCAGUGGAUACUCAACUGUAAGCAUGAUCCAUAGGAGAGAAAGCAGUCAGAUUAUGCAACCAUUAAUUGGUAAUUAAUGACCGGUACGUUUGUAAGCAGCUCUGUUAGUAAGAACAGAUCUUGUGAGCUCAAGAGACCAAACUGCUACAGUCCAAUUUCUAAAGCAUUUCUUGCAAAAGGAAAUACAAACAAUACUGCUAAAAACAUAAAGUCAUUGUGCCAAUAUCUCCUACAAAGAUCAAAUGGGGAAAUAGGUACGGGGGAAAUUUAAGUGGUUCUGGAAUAAGAAGGAAUUUCUCAUCUGUUUUGCCAAAUUGCACUGCAUGUAAAGUUAUGCCCAAAAUGUUAUGCUUGACUCGGGAAUAAUGUAGUGCAGCAGUAUAUUGCCAAUAAAUCAUGCUCAGUUGUACUGGAAGCCAAUAUACUCCACAAGACACAUCUCGUCAGAACUAAAGUUCCAAAUGUACAUAGACAUCAAGCUGUAGCAUUUCCUCAGUACGUCAGUAAUGCACAUCAAGUGCUUAUGUGUUUGAACAGCAUGCGAAAUUAAAACAGAAUUCCUACCAGGAAAUGGAACACAACGUAAUGGAUAGAUCAAGAAUAAAAACGAUUUACCAUGCUAUAUUAGAGAUGUAGGUCAUGAAUUUCUUGCACAUACGGGCAGGAGCUGGAUCUCAAAAUCCAUGUCCUCCCCACAGACUUGCACACAUACCUGGUAAACCUUCCGUUUACACUAAUAAUCAGUUAGGUAUACAAUUUUCUGUACUAUAUGCACCCACCUUUCUGAUCUGAACUUGUAAGCAAUGACAGUUCAUCUCCUUGUAAAACAAAACCUUUCUGCAACGACAUAUCAAACCAAGAGCAAAAAAACCUCCCACAUGUUUUUUCCCUUACAUCAGUAAAAACAGAAGUCUAGAUAAUACAAACUAUCAUCUAAUCUAGUAAUAAUUAUGGUGUGUGUAGUUAUAUAGAUUUGAACAGUGGAUGUGAAAAAGAACAAAAAGAGGAGCAUACCUUAGUGGUGUUGCUACUGCCAACAAAGUGACGACCAACUGGAGAGCUACCGCCUGAGAGUUGCUAGCUCGCUGCUUGCCGCGUGAGUGACAGAGGAGGAGUCGAGAGCUCGUGGGGAAAGGAGGGGCGAAACACUGCAGUAGCUCGCUGUUGGCUCGCCUCCGGAGGACAGAAGGCCGUGGGUAGUGGGCUCGUCCACCGCCGCCACCAAGUUGGAAGCUGGCGCUGCAGGCUUGCCGAGGAAGGCGGAAGGGCACCGCCUAGGACCAAACUGAGAGCAACGCCGGAAAAAAGAGAGCAGAUCCGUCAGCAUCAUCCUCUCGCUCGCCCGUACUGGCAGAUGACGCGUCGGUUCCCUUCUGCGCUUCCGUGGGGAGAAACAUCAGGUGAAACGCCAUCACUCGGGGCACGGGGGAUGCGUGGCGGUGACGCAGCUUGCUGGGGUGGCGGUCGCCGGGAUGUGCCGAGGACGGCGCUGCACACUCUCAGUCUUGGCUUCACGGACGCAGCGGACAGCAACCCAUCCGUGAGGAUGCUGGCGAGCACCAACUUGACGCGGUCGUGUCCUCCCCGCGAGCCCCACUGCCUGGUGCCGCCACCGCUCGUCUGGCCAGUCGCCGUUCCAUGACCAUGCCGUCCGCGACCGACCACCACAAAUGCCCCUUCCAUCGCCACCUCUUCGCCGAGCGGCGUCACCAUCGUCCCUCUCCGCCAUCCAGCACCGUGGGUUGGCUGUCCUGGUGGUCGCCCGUCUCGUCUUCCUCUGGGAGGUGCCCGGUCGCCUCCCUUGUGCAGCCGGCUAGGACAGGGUGUAUGUGAAGAGGGGGUGGUGCAGCCGAAGUGGAAGGAGGUGCGAUGGCUACGUGCGCCACCACCUUGGCCCGGGGAGGGUAGAUGCGAAGCCGUCGCUCCGAGAGGAUUUGGAUGCCGGCAGUCGGGCCUGGCAGAGAACGGGAAGGAUGGUUGUGGGAGCCGCGAUCUGGGAGAUGAACGGGGGCAUUUUAUAGUCGUCUACAUCGGAAGCAGUUUUGAUGGGAUGCCUCUCGAGAGGUCCAGAGAAACAGCUCUAGACGCCUCCACAUCCACCCGUCUAAAUAGGCCACUGCCACGUAAUAUCAAAAGACAAGUAAAAUAAUAUAGAGGAACUCUCCGGUAGAAUUUCAUGCACACGCGUCAAUAGACAAGGUCAUCUGACUUUGGCAAUCACCACGUCAAAUCAAACGUGCUAAAACCAUCCAACCAAGAUUUUUUUACUGCACCCAGGAAAACUGCUGGACACGCGUCACCCCAACAACCGUGCUAAAAAAAAGUUCAAAAAACCCAGAAAAAUGAAUCCCUUACAGGCCUAGUAUUCUUAGUAUGUGCUCAGCCGCUUCUUUUACAUCAACUGUACCCAUGCUGCUGGGAAUAUUUUAUUCAUGCAUGAGGAUUGAGGAAACACAUUGUUUUGGUAAAUCAUAUCUGUUACUACGUGAUGCAUGAUCUACUGAGAACAUGGGAAAAGUAUUCCUACCAACAUGUUUACUGUGUAAUAUCAAUGGAGCAGAUCACCAUAUCUUAACAUUUUGCACCGCCUUGGUCAGCACAUAUCGGCUGCAGUUCUUCCCAGGUGUUGAACUUACCAAUUGCUGCCCAAGGAAGACGGGCAUAGGCUUUUCUGCUCUUUUUUCCCCUUGUUUUUAGGAGGAAUUCUUUGUAAAUCACCAUCCUGUGCAAUUAUCUCUUUGCGGAGGCAGCGGAGUACCUUGCAGGACUUUCAUGAAUUUAUUUAUUGUCAAUGGAGAAAUUCUCCAGUUUUCUUCAUUGCCUGGUCAAAUAGACACAGGAUGCUUUCAAAGACUUAUUCUUCUAUUGUGUCGAUGGCACAUUCUCUCUCUAUUCUGCUUUGACAAACUAAUGCAGUAUAAGAAACAUAUUAGUCUGGGAUUAGAAUUAAUAUUUUUAUAGGAUUUAAUCUUAGCUUUAUUUCCCGAAUUUAGUGGAGAGGUAUGGACAAGACUAUUCCAUUGUUUGUUCCCGCGUUUUGAUUUGCUCAAAGCCCAUCUAGCCAUUUGGUUGAAAUUGUAGACUUGGAAUUGUAACUAUCAAUGUUGAAAUGCUCUGCUAGUAUAGUCCAUCUUGUAUUAAUGAUGAUCGAACAUGAAAUCAGCCAUCUCAUUUACUCCUGCAGUUUGGUACAACUCCAAUCGAAAUUGCCGCCCUCCAAGCCAGAUGGGAUAUGGUUGCGAUGUUAUUUCCUUUAACUUCUCCCAUUUCAAGAUUGCCGGAUUGGAGUGUUGAUGGAAUUAUUUCUCAUGUGCAAUCUUUCGGUUUGAAGCCGAGGGUAUGUAGUUCCUUUUCCGCUCACUUACAGUUCCAUAAUAUUAUGUACAAUGGCUAGUCGUCUUCCAUUCUUCUGUUGCUCUGCUCCUGCAGUCAUGAUUUCUAUUGAUAUUUAUAAUAACAGAAAAAUGUUAUGCAUACCCAGACCCUGCGCAAGCGGGAGCUACAUGCACCGGGCUGCCCUUUUUAUAAGCGCCCCACAUUUGAGAAAGUUUUAAUGUCAUUGUUAGGGUCAACUAAGAUUCUAAGUGAAGCUUCUUUUCUGUGUUUGUGCUGUAUAUAUGUCUUGACCAAAAAUAUUUUUUGAUCAGGAUAUACAUCUAUGUGAAGCGAAAAGAGCUGAACUAAAGUUGCAAGCUACAGAGGCUUUUAAGAGAAAGGAAUAUAUCAUAGCAGGAGACCUAUAUACUUGUGUGAGUCACUGAGCCUAGAUGAUUAUGAUAGUUACGGUGUAAAUUAAACAUGUGCUUGUCAUUGUUAUCUAGCAAGACACUUCACAUUUUGAACACGCCCAAAAGGUUCAAUCCCUGUCAAACUGUUCAGUGUCCUAAUCUAACUGUUUAAGCUGCAGCUAGACUAGAACCACAGUAUCUAAAACAAAGGGCAGUCUGUGUUUUGCACUGUAUCUAAAACAAAGGGUAUCUAGAACCACAGUAUCUAGAACUACAGCUGCAUGCUAUUAUAACAGUUGUUUUGCACUGUUUGUCCUCAAAAUUCAGUCUGGAUUAUGCUCGCAGUUGCUAUUGCCACACACACACACACACACACAAAAACCCUGCUUUGGAGUUGAACUGCUUAUGUUUUAGUUAGAGGAACCGUGUGAACAUUCAAAGGUAUUUAAAAUUCCGGAGUUAUCUAUAUUAAUUCAUAAAAAAUCAGCAUCAUUUUCCAUGUAUCUUUCGUGAAAAUUCUGUCAGAAAUGUUAUACUGAUUUCAUAAAAGUGAAUGGUUUCUCUCUGUCUCGAUCUGGAUUAUCGGAAAUGUUGGUGGGGUCAGUGAAAAUGUUGUUACUGUGUUAUGCAAACUACUACCUUGUAACAAAAUCUGCAUGUGAUUGGUCUACUGUAGGCAAUGAGUUUUCAGCCUAGUCCAAAAGGUCUUGCAAACCUGCUAGCACAUAGGAGUUUCUGUAUGUUGCACGCGGGAAUAGGAAAAGAGGCUCUCUCCGACUCUGCUAGGUGCACAGUGCUACGACCUCUUUGGCCCAAAGGUUACUAUCGACUAGGAGCAGCCUUUAUGUUGCUACAGGUAAAACAGAAUAAAUUUGUUACGGCUAUUCUUUCGUGACCAUGAUGAAAUUGAUCAUCUUCUGGUGUCUACUCACAGGACUAUGGAAAAGCAGCUCAGACGUUCGAAGCUGGCUUGAAACUGGACCCUACAAAUGCGGAUAUGGCAAACGCUUUAAGGUAAUUGUGUGUUCCAUGUCUCCAUGUUGCGAGGAAUCUUGUGCAGUCCCACCUGCUUGAUUGGUCCCCUAAAAGGACGAACUAUUUCUUAUAUGCUCCCUCUGUUCCUGAAUAUAAGACGUUUUCGCAGUUCAAUUUAAACUGCCAAAACGUCUUAUAUUUAGAAACAGAGGUGGUACGUAGAUCGAAGUCCUUCUGGAGUGCAAGUGUUUUCUGUGUCUUGAUUGUCUAAACUCGGGCAUCAUGCGGAUUUAAUGAUUUAAGAUCUAUUAAGAGUGAGUUUGGAGCUACAGCUCUGGUUCUCAAAUCCAUGGAAAGAAAGAGAGCACCUUGUCCUGGUGCCCUGUGCAUGCCUUUGUUCUGUUCAAUCUCUGGAAAAAAAAGGCUCUUUUCACUAUUUUGACCCUUUCAGAAAACUUUAGCACAAAAUGAACUCCACACAAAACUAUUUCACAAUCUGACCCUUUUGGUAACGCCACAAGCCGUGGCGUUUCUUCUCUAUUUGAAAACGCCGAACUAGCUAGCGUUGCUUCACUUCAUAAAUAAAUGAAAAAUGUGAAAAACUAGUUGAAACGCCAACAACCCUUGGCGUUGCAUGCUUGUGCAGCAACGCCCACCCCAUUGGCGUUUCCAGCAACGUUACAAACUUUGGCGUUUCAGCCCUGCUACGUAGCGUCUCGAUCAGGCCAAUAACGCUAGCUAGUUCGGCGUUUUCAUAUAGUGCAGCAACGUCACGGUCUUUGGCGUUUCUGAAAAGGGUCAGAUCGUGAAAUUGUUUUGUGUGAAGUUCAUUUUGUGCUAAAGUUUCCUCAUAAGAUCAGAACAGUGAAAAAGGCCGAAAAAAAAGAGCCAUAUAGAAGUCUCGCCCGCCCAUUGCUUACCCCAAAAAUAUUUUUCGUCGCAGGGAAGCCCAAGAGACGGCGAGGAAUCCUCCUCGCACCAGGGGGCUGGAGUGCCUUCACCCAUUUGGAAUGAGACGUUCCUGGAGUGAUUGAGGCGCUGUUUCGUUGCUAUGUCCAGUCCAGGGUAUGCAUGCCUGCCUGUUAUUCUCUUUUCCUAUGUCCAGUCCAAGGUAUGCAUGCCUGUUAUUCUCUGGAGAGACUGAGACUCUGUUUCGUUGCUUAAGACUCUGUUUUGUGUUGAACCGUCCAAGAGUACUGAUCUCAUGUGCUAUAUUGUAGACCGUGUAAACAUGGCUAUCUGUACAUUGUGGUUAUAUGUCGUCUCCGUGAACCAUUGUGGUUAUAUAUCGUGUGCGUGAAUCACUCUGAAAAAUGCGCUUGUCAUGGUGAAAUCUAAGCAGUACUAUACUGGCUAGAAAAAAAAGGAUAAAAGGCAAAAAAGAAGUGUCAUCUAGGUAGGGGAUCGUGUGGAACUGCAGAUAUAUUUUAGUAUUUGAGAAAAAAGAAGAUAAUUUGUGUGGAAAGCGGGAUUUAGUAUGGCGUUGGGCAUGCUGUAGAUGUUAGCUGGGAGUGGGAGGUUUGCUGGUGGGUACGCACAUUAGAAUCCUGAAAAUACAGUGCUUACUGAGGACAAAGAGAGGAUUCUAGGGGAAUUCUGCACAUCUCUAUUUUUAUAGGUAAAUUUUGCACAUUUUUUGCCAUCACCUGUUGCUGGGUGGUGAAUUUAACUAGAAACCACACAAGCAUUUACGGGCUCGUGUUUGAAAAACACACGCUCGAGACGGUCCAGUGGAGGAAUAGGGGCAUGUCCAGGGUGCACCCACGAGGCGAAAUAAAUCAAAAGGAAAACAACAUAGACUGCAGUCUGCUGGACAAAAUGUGUCUUUCAUGCAAACGAAUAAAAGCAUGUGUAUCUACACGAAAGAACAACCGAGUCAUGUGCACAGAUGAACAUAUACCAACACGCAAAUGAUAAUUACAGAAUAGUAGUACUCAUCAUGGGUGCAUGGAACAACAGAAACUAAAAGGAAUGGUGGAAUACAAGGAAUACAAAAAGAUGCAUCAUCACUAUCUCGCUAACCGGAUACUAUGCCACUUAUUCUAGAAAUAGCACAUCGUGGCUCCGGACGGGGUCGAUCUCCUCCUUCAGCUGUCAUAUGUGAGUAUCACAUCAAUUGUCAGUCAUCGGUGGCUUGCCCUUCGGAGGCGGCUCCGGCUUCGGUUCGGGCUCAGGCUUGGGCUCUGGCUUAGGCAUAGGUUCAGGCUUAGGCUCUGGUUUAGGCAAUGGUUUGGGCUUAGGCUCUGGCUUUGGCAUCGGCUCAGGCUUGGGCUCUGGCUUCGGUUCUGGCUUCGGCAUUGGCUCGGGCUUGGGCUCGGGCUUUGNNNNNNNNNNNNNNNNNNNNNNNNNNNNNNNNNNNNNNNNNNNNNNNNNNNNNNNNNNNNNNNNNNNNNNNNNNNNNNNNNNNNNNNNNNNNNNNNNNNNNNNNNNNNNNNNNNNNNNNNNNNNNNNNNNNNNNNNNNNNNNNNNNNNNNNNNNNNNNNNNNNNNNNNNNNNNNNNNNNNNNNNNNNNNNNNNNNNNNNNNNNNNNNNNNNNNNNNNNNNNNNNNNNNNNNNNNNNNNNNNNNNNNNNNNNNNNNNNNNNNNNNNNNNNNNNNNNNNNNNNNNNNNNNNNNNNNNNNNNNNNNNNNNNNNNNNNNNNNNNNNNNNNNNNNNNNNNNNNNNNNNNNNNNNNNNNNNNNNNNNNNNNNNNNNNNNNNNNNNNNNNNNNNNNNNNNNNNNNNNNNNNNNNNNNNNNNNNNNNNNNNNNNNNNNNNNNNNNNNNNNNNNNNNNNNNNNNNNNNNNNNNNNNNNNNNNNNNNNNNNNNNNNNNNNNNNNNNNNNNNNNNNNNNNNNNNNNNNNNNNNNNNNNNNNNNNNNNNNNNNNNNNNNNNNNNNNNNNNNNNNNNNNNNNNNNNNNNNNNNNNNNNNNNNNNNNNNNNNNNNNNNNNNNNNNNNNNNNNNNNNNNNNNNNNNNNNNNNNNNNNNNNNNNNNNNUCAGGUUUGGGCAUCGGGUCAGGCUUGGGCUCAGGCUUUGGUUCGGGCUUUGGCAUCGGCUCCGGCUUCGGCUCCGGUUUGGGCUCUGGCUUUGGCAUGGGUUCAGGUUUGGGCAGAGGCUUAGGCUCUGGUUUUGGCAUGGGUUCAGGUUUAGGCAGAGGCUUAGGCUCUGGCUUUGGCAUGGGUUCAGGCUUAGGCAUUGGCUCUGGCUUGGGUUCCGGCUUGGGCUCCGGGUACGGCAUCGGCUUGGGCUCCGGCUCGGGGAGCUUCUCGGCGAGGCCCCGACCAGC
rnacentral:lncRNA from 1 species